rnacentral:tRNA from 2 species
GGAGGGGUCGCAUAGUUGGUCUAGUGCGGUCGCCUGCUAAGCGACAGUGGGGUUAAUAGCUCCACCGAGGGUUCGAAUCCCUCCCCCUCCGCCA